rnacentral:rRNA from 1 species
AUUGAACGCUGGCGACAGGCCUAACACAUGCAAGUCGAGCGGAUGAAGGGAGCUUGCUCCUGGAUUCAGCGGCGGACGGGUGAGUAAUGCCUAGGAAUCUGCCUGGUAGUGGGGGAUAACGUCCGGAAACGGGCGCUAAUACCGCAUACGUCCUGAGGGAGAAAGUGGGGGAUCUUCGGACCUCACGCUAUCAGAUGAGCCUAGGUCGGAUUAGCUAGUUGGUGGGGUAAAGGCCUACCAAGGCGACGAUCCGUAACUGGUCUGAGAGGAUGAUCAGUCACACUAGAACUGAGACACGGUCCAGGCUCCUAAGGGAGGCAGCAGUGGGGAAUAUUGGACAAUGGGCGAAAGCCUGAUCCAGCCAUGCCGCGUGUGUGAAGAAGGUCUUCGGAUUGUAAAGCACUUUAAGUUGGGAGGAAGGGCAGUAAGUUAAUACCUUGCUGUUUUGACGUUACCAACAGAAUAAGCACCGGCUAACUUCGUG